AAAUCCGAUGGCUUUAUUGACCGUGAGGGUUCAAGUCCCUCUACUCCCA
rnacentral:tRNA from 1 species